UACGUAGGGCGCAAGCGUUAUCCGGAAUUAUUGGGCGUAAAGAGCUCGUAGGCGGUUUGUCGCGUCUGCCGUGAAAGUCCGGGGCUCAACUCCGGAUCUGCGGUGGGUACGGGCAGACUAGAGUGAUGUAGGGAAGACUGGAAUUCCUGGUGUAGCGGUGAAAUGCGCAGAUAUCAGGAGGAACACCGGUGGCGAAGGCGGGUCUCUGGGCAACAACUGACGCUGAGGAGCGAAAGCGUGGGGAGCGAACAGG
rnacentral:rRNA from 1 species